UGCGCUGUGGCGUAACAGUCUGUUCAUGAUGUGUGACCAUAUAACACAUCGGUUUUUGGCGCUUUUUAAAGAAAUAAGAAUACUGUUAAGAAUUAUAUUAGUUAAUGUUUAUUAUCGCUGAUAGAAACCAGUAUUUAACAAGUGCAUUCAACAUCCAAGGUUCUGAAAGUGUGCACAAUUGAUUGCUAAUUACUUUUCGUACAUCGAUACCUAUUUUUACAAAGUGCGUUGGCUUGAUAUGCUUGAUAAUUUUCCAUAAUUUUAAGCCGAUAUGCAUUUUAUUGAACGAACAACUCAAGCCGCAAAUGGAUAACAUCACACAAUUCACAGCAGUCGGCUGGGGAUCAACGGGCUAUAAGAAGGGCAGCGACGAACUUCAAAUGAGACAAAUCCACAGAAAGAACAAGACACUUGCUUUAACAAUUUCUGGAUCGAAUUGCUCGACUCACAAAUCUGUGCUGGCACCUCAGGCGACAGCGACAGCAUUGGCGAC